AGUGGCGAACGGGUGAGUAACAGGUGGGUAACCUACCUUCGAGUGGGGGAUAACACCUGGAAACGGGUGCUAAUACCGCAUAACAUUCACCUGCGGCAUCGUGGGUGAAUCAAAGGUGGCCUCUGCUUGCAAGCUGCCACUUGAAGAUGGGCCCGCCCCCUAUUAGCUAGUUGGUGGGGUAACGGCUCACCAAGGCAAAGAUGGGUAGCUGGUCUAAGAGGAUGGUCGGCCACACUGGGAUUGAGAUACGGCCCAGACUCCUACGGGAGGCAGCAGUCUAGAGGCUUCCGCAAUGGGGGAAACCCUGACGGAGCGACGCCGCGUGCGGGAUGAAGGCCUUCGGGUCGUAAACCGCUGUCAGGUAGGAAGAAUCGCUCGGCGGUGAAUAGCCGCCGGGAGGCGACGUUACUACCAGAGGAAAUCCCGGCCAACUACGUGCCAGCAGCCGCGGUAACACGUAGGGGGUUAGCGUUGUUCGGAAUUAUUGGGCGUAAAGGGCGUGUAGGCGGCCAGGUAAGUCCGUUGUGAAAUCCCUACGGCUCAACCGAGGAACUGCAUCGGAUACUGUCUGGCUUGAGGACGGGAGAGGAAAGCGGAAUUCCUGGUGUAGCGGUGAAAUGUGUAGAUAUCAGGAGGAACACCAGUGGCGAAGGCGGCUUUCUGGCCCGACCCUGACGCUGAGGCGCGAAAGCGUGGGGAGCGAACAGGAUUAGAUACCCUGGUAGUCCACGCUGUAAACGAUGGGCACUAGGUGUAGGAGGUAUCGACCCCUUCUGUGCCGUAGCUAACGCAUUAAGUGCCCCGCCUGGGGAGUACGGUCGCAAGACUGAAACUCAAAGGAAUUGACGGGGGCCCGCACAAGCGGUGGAGCAUGUGGUUCAAUUCGACGCCACGCGAAGAACCUUACCAGGGCUUGACAUGACUCUGACGGCCUGGGAAACCAGGGCUUCCCUUCGGGGCGGAGCCACAGGUGCUGCAUGGCUGUCGUCAGCUCGUGUCGUGAGAUGUUGGGUUAAGUCCCGCAACGAGCGCAACCCUUGUCCUUAGUUGCCAGCGGGUGAAGCCGGGGACUCUAAGGAGACUGCCGGUGACAAACCGGAGGAAGGUGGGGACGACGUCAAGUCAUCACGGCCUUUAUGUCCUGGGCUACACACGUGCUACAAUGGCCGGUACAAUGGGCUGCCAAGCCGUGAGGCGGAGCUAAUCCCAUAAAGCCGGCCUCAGUUGGGAUUGAAGGCUGAAACUCGCCUUCAUGAACGCGGAAUCGCUAGUAAUCGCGGAUCAGCAGGCCGCGGUGAAUACGUUCCCGGGCCUUGUACACACCGCCCGUCACAUGACCCGAGUUGGGUGCUCCCGA
rnacentral:rRNA from 1 species